rnacentral:rRNA from 1 species
AGAGUUUGAUCCUGGCUCAGAAUGAACGUUGGCGGCGUGGAUUAGGCAUGCAAGUCGCGCGAGUACCCCGCAAGGGGGAGAGCGGCGAAAGGGACAGUAACACGUAGAUUACCUACCUCCAGGUUCUGGAUAGCUGCGGGAAACUGCAGGUAAUACAGAAUAACAUCUCCGGAUCAAAGGUGUGAUUCCGCCUGGAGACGGGUCUGCGUCCUAUUAGCUAGUUGGUGAGGUAACGGCUCACCAAGGCAAUGAUGGGUAGUGGGUGUGAGAGCACGACCCGCGUCACUGGGACUGAGACACUGCCCAGACACCUACGGGUGGCUGCAGUCGAGGAUCUUCGGCAAUGGGCGCAAGCCUGACCGAGCGACGCCGCGUGCGGGAUGAAGGCCUUCGGGUUGUAAACCGCUGUCAGAGGGGAUGAAAUACUGGUGGGUACUCCCAUCAGCUUGACAUAUCCUCAGAGGAAGUACGGGCUAAGUUCGUGCCAGCAGCCGCGGUAAGACGAACCGUACGAACGUUAUUCGGAAUCACUGGGCUUAAAGGGUGCGUAGGCGGCGCGGAAAGUUGGGUGUGAAAUCCCUCGGCUCAACCGAGGAACUGCGCCCAAAACUACCGUGCUCGAGGGAGAUAGAGGUGAGCGGAACUUAGGGUGGAGCGGUGAAAUGCGUUGAUAUCCUAAGGAACACCCGUGGCGAAAGCGGCUCACUGGGUCUCUUCUGACGCUGAUGCACGAAAGCUAGGGUAGCGAACGGGAUUAGAUACCCCGGUAGUCCUAGCUGUAAACGAUGAGCACUGGGUUG